CCCACCAAUCACAGCCUGUCUGCCCUGGGCGGCGGUCCAGGAGCCUCUGAGGGACACUAAGCAUGUCUGUCUUCUGGGAAGUGAGUUUGCUCCAGGAGCUGGCGACAGUGGCUGGGUUAGCGCUUUCAUCCUGGGGAAUGUAGCUCACCUGGGACACCUUAUCGCGCAUAAGGUGACGCCUACGGUUUGUGACGAAAAGGGGUAAACAGCUGUGUGGUGUCUUGAAAAGAACAUGGUUUCUAGAGUCAGACAGAGUUGACUUCAGAUCGAGGCUCUGCUACUUAGCUGAAUAACCAUGGUGAGUCUUUUCAGAGGAAUGGAUAAAGAAGAUGUGGUACAUAUGUAUAACGGAAUAUUACUCAGUCAUUAAAAAGAAUGGAAUAAUGCCAUUUGCAACAACAUGGAUGGACCUAGAGAUUGUCAUACUGAGUGAAGCUGUCUCUGCGCCACAGAUCAGCCUGAGAUGUAAACUUAAGGUCUCCUCAGGUCUUUUCUGGACCUGCAUCUUUCCCUGGGCUGGUUGCUCCUUGAAGGCCACUGGAACACUGUCCCCAACAGGAAUCAGCCUAACACAAAGAAGUUAUCAAUAAGUGUCUGGUGAAUUUGACUUACCUUCCUUAUACUACAUAGCUACCACCCACAAUACCAUAAAAACACUUUCCCAUCUUCCUUAUUUCUCUUCUGAGGUAACAAACCCAGGCUCCUGUAAUCUGGGUUUCAUUCAUUUACAUAAAUGCCUGAACAGCUUUUAUUUUGGUCACUGAUGGAAGGAAAGACAGAUAUCCCUGCUCUCAAAAUGCAAUAAUGGGCAGAAUAAAGGAUACACAGUUAAGUUAUAAUGUUGUAUCGUGAUUCCUGGCCAAAAGGAAGAGACUUUGUCAGCAGUACAUGUGAAUGAUAUAGUGAGGUACUUAAGUAAGAGAAAAGUUUGCCCACUGUAAUGGACAUCUGUUUUUUCUGACUGUCAUCCAAUCACCCUUCUCCAGGACUGCUCCCUCCCUACUCUCAGCCCACGUGUUUGUGGUGGAUUUGACUCCACCUCCAACUCUAGGGGUCAACCUGAGACGCCAGGCAUGGCCAUUUAAAACAUCACAUUUUCUCGGUCACAGUAAUUAGUUCCAGAAUAGACCCAUGAGCUAAUCAGAGUCAGUGAGAUGCAAUGAUUUCUUUGUGGGAACACUGGGAGAGAGGCAGCCACAUUUUCCAGCUGUCCUUGAGCCCAGAGGGAUAGCACCAGUCAUCUUGCGCCACAAGAAAGCCUGUGUCUGAAUGGACUCAACACAGACUGAUGGACAGAGAGAAGCAGGGUUUGAGUCUGUAGCAACCCUGCCUGAAGCCAGAAUUUUCUGUCACAUGAGCCAGUAAAGUCUCUUUCCUUGAGCUGAAAUUGACCGCUUAGCUGUGAAGUCAACCUAUAAUGCAUAUCAGCAGACAUUGCUUAAGUCACUUCAAAAUAGUUUACUUAAUUAUUCCAAAGUCAUUUGACUUUUCAGGAGGUUGAUCCAUCAGGGAAACCACAUGCACACUGGUUAAGAGCACAGGCUUUAAAGCCACACACGCAUGGAGUUGAUUCCUGUUUUCUUAACCUUUCUGAGCUUCCAUUUCUUCAUCAGUUAAAUGCAGAUAAUAAUAGUGUUGAUGUGAUUUUUUUUUCAUGUCUGAGGGCAGAUUUUGUGAGCACAAAAGACUACAGCAUUUUAAGUUCUAAAUUAAUAUUAACUUUUUUCAUCUACAAACUCAAAACCUUGGCUUUAUUUAAAACUUAAAAGUUCAACUUACAAAUAUAUUAUUCUAUUUAUAAAUUGAUGAUAUUUAUAUAAAAAUAAUGAUUAGGCUUAAGGAGAUCUUUUAUUAUUGUUCGGAUAACUCAGGCAGAACAAUUAAACUCUGUUAAACAAUUCCAUUUUGGGGGGCUUCCCUGGUGGCGCAGUGGUUGAGAGUCCGCCUGCCGAUGCAGGGGAUGCGGGUUUGUGCCCCCUGUCUGGGAGGAUCCCGCAUGCCGCGGAGCGGCUGGGCCUGUGAGCCAUGGCCACUGGGCCUGCGCAUCUGGAGACUGUGCUCUGAGGCGGAAGAGGCCACAACAGUGAGAGGCCCGGGUAUCACAAAAAAAAAAAAAAAAAAAAAAAAAUUUAAAUUUAUAAAAUGUAAUUUCAUUAAACAUUGUAAA